GAUGCCACACCCAGCAAUCACUGCACUUGAGUUUACUACAGCAAAAGCCAGCUCAAGCUAGGGCGAAUGUCUCGGUACCAAUCUUUCGUCGCCAUACACGUCUUUUUCGAUUUCAAUUUUCAGAUACAACUGUUCCCUCUCUUCAAAGGCCGGCCUUCUUUAGGGAAGUUACUUGGGGCCAACAUCCUUCAGGGCACAGAUCUGCUCCUCCCCCAUGGCAGACUGGACAGUCACCACAAGAUCCUUUCCCCCGUCAAAUCCUUCCUUGAUCUGAUUAGAUGGAGUAAGCAUUUUUGGACAAUCUUAGAACAUGAUAAAAUAUUUCAACAUUUGUUAAAAUCACAGAACAGGCAUGCAAGAGUGCAAUGACAAUAAUUCAAAUAAACGCAACUUAUGGCAACCAAGUUGGAUCCUUACAAGAAAAAUAAAGCGAAUGUGAAAUCCACCUCUUGUUCUAUCUGCUUUCAUGCAAAAUCUAUUAACAAGAUUCUAUGGAAGAGGGCUACCAAAAUAGACUGAUAUAUUACGAGAUAGACUGAAAUAUACAUAACGAUUGACUGAAACAUACACAAUGAUUAUAAAAUGGUUUACUAUUUUCCAGAAAAAAACGUUGAGAUAGAAAUAGGUAACUAAGAUGGAGAGUUUCUCAAAAUACCUGACCCAGGAGAGUCUCAUCAGUUGGGAGUCUAAGAUCAUCCUUGGUGUUGCCAUCAGAAGUAAGAAGGCUC
rnacentral:lncRNA from 1 species